rnacentral:lncRNA from 1 species
CUCCCAACAGAGUUUUCUCCAUACCCAGAGUCAAACUCUCGACCUCUAAUUAAGGGUGGAACAGCCUCAUCCACUACACCACAACCAUAUUGGUAAUACUUUUCAAAUUAUGUAAUAGUAUUUGAUUAAACAUUAUUUUUUAAAAAGAUCAUCAAAAACAAGUCAAAAAUUUAUGUGGUUAUAAACCUCAUUUCUUUAAAUUGUUGAUUUUUAUUCCAAAGCUUGAUAAAAUUUGUUAUAAUAUGCAUGAAUUUUGCGGGAGUCUUAUGAUUCCUAGACUAUUUAUUAGUAUAUUAUGACCCCCUAAAUUAUUUAUUAGCAUAUUUACUAAUAUUUAUUUAUACUAAAUUAAUUAAUUUAUUAAUAAAUUUUAUCUAUUUAUUAAUUUAUAAACAUCACUAAAAUACAUUAAUAAAUAAAUAAUUUAGAAGGGUCGCAGAAUCUCUGCAAAAUUCAGGCUUCUUACAACAAGUAUUUUAAAUUGAUGUUUAAUAUUUGAUCUUAAUAAAUAAAUAAUUGAUACCAAGCAUAAAAUAUAGAAAAGUAACUAUCUUUUUUACGAUAUUAAAAAUGACAAAUAUGAAUAAAUAAAAAUGAACACAUGAGUAUAUUGCAAAUUCUAAUAAUACAAACGUUAAUGGAGAAUGUUGAUGCACUUUCAGACCUCAAAAACUUCGUCUGAUUAUUUAUCUUAAACCCAAACAACAUAAACAAAAGUGAAUAAAAGUAGUAUAUUCACAAAUCCACAUUUACAUGUAGUGUACAAAUUCUCAACUAGUAGACCUAUCAAAUAAUCUAAAACUUUUAAUCAGUCUAAUUAUGAUACUUUCAGCUUCUUUCAUCCUUAAUCAAUCUGAGAUAAUUUUAUGCACGGAUUUGAACUAAUCGAGCUACCAACACUGAUCGGUUUCCCAUCUCCGGCGAACAGGAUAAUGACUCCGACCUCCGGCCGACGAGACAACAGGUCUUGCAAUUCUACUUCCAAACAACUUCCGAUCAUAAUUAGCACGUUUUUCCGGGUCGGAAAGAGUAGCAUAAGCUGAUUGAACCCUAAUAAACU